rnacentral:misc_RNA from 1 species
AAUGUCGUAACAAGGUUUCCGUAGGUGAACCUGCGGAAGGAUCAUUAAUGAAAGUGUAAGGGAUGCUCUUUUUGAGAGGUCCCGACCAAAUUCAUUUUGCCCCUUCUACACUGUGCACACACUACACUUUUUAACACCUUUUGAACCUUCAGUUUUAAGAAUGUAUAACAGUCUCUUUAUUGAGCAUAAAUUAAAGUAAAAU